GUAGGUGGCAAGCGUUAUCCGGAUUUACUGGGUGUAAAGGGCGUGUAGGCGGGGAGGCAAGUCAGAUGUGAAAACCACGGGCUCAACCUGGGGCCUGCAUUUGAAACUGUUUUUCUUGAGUGCUGGAGAGGCAAUCGGAAUUCCGUGUGUAGCGGUGAAAUGCGUAGAUAUACGGAGGAACACCAGUGGCGAAGGCGGAUUGCUGGACAGUAACUGACGCUGAGGCGCGAAAGCGUGGGGAGCAAA
rnacentral:rRNA from 1 species